GACGAACGCUGGCGGCGUGCUUAACACAUGCCAGUCGAACGGAAAGGCCCUGCUUUUGUGGGGUGCUCGAGUGGCGAACGGGUGAGUAACACGUGAGUAACCUGCCCUUGACUUUGGGAUAACUUCAGGAAACUGGGGCUAAUACCGGAUAGGAGCUCCUGCUGCAUGGUGGGGGUUGGAAAGUUUCGGCGGUUGGGGAUGGACUCGCGGCUUAUCAGCUUGUUGGUGGGGUAGUGGCUUACCAAGGCUUUGACGGGUAGCCGGCCUGAGAGGGUGACCGGCCACAUUGGGACUGAGAUACGGCCCAUACUCCUACGGGAGGCAGCAGUGGGGAAUAUUGCACAAUGGGCGGAAGCCUGAUGCAGCAACGCCGCGUGCGGGAUGACGGCCUUCGGGUUGUAAACCGCUUUCGCCUGUGACGAAGCGUGAGUGACGGUAAUGGGUAAAGAAGCACCGGCUAACUACGUG
rnacentral:rRNA from 1 species